UCCUUUCAGUGAUGAAUUUUGUUAUCCCUGGCUUAAAAAAAUCUGUGGAUAAAAAAUAUAAUCUGAGAAAGGU